rnacentral:tRNA from 1 species
GGAGGGGACAGCUCAGUGGUACAGCAUGUGCUUACCACGCACGAGGUCCUGGGUUCCAUCCCCAGCACCUCCA